CACAUCACCUUCUAUAACAUCUUGCAGUGACAGUGGAUACUUUGCUACCAUUUUCUUCGCAACCUCUGUGGAGGAUUGUUUACCAGGAGAAGAAGAGGCAUGCAUCAUUUCAGCAACUACAAUUCGGAUCAUUUCUCUGCGUAACUUUGAGCUUGGCCUUUUCCCUCUCUCCAAACUCUGCAUUAAGGCUUCUGGGAGCUUCUCCCAUGGAAUCUGGAAGCUGUCGACCCAAUCUGCAGUAGCAAUCAUGUGUCUGGGUGAUGGUGAGGGUGAGGGUGAGGAAGACAGUGAGACUGAGGAGCACGCUGAGGACACUUGAGAGGUCAAUGUUGACUGACUAUGGAAUUCAGUUGUCUCUGUGGAUUGUUUCCAUGCAGCCAACAGUUUUCUAGCUUGAACUGGUCUCAGUACUGUGAGCAGAUCAGCUUCCUUAAUAUACUGUAAAUCUUCAGUGGCUCCCACACCUAAAGAUUGUAAUGUCUCCAAUACAAUAUUUAGAUUUGAGGUUGGUAGGUCUGGUAACACAUUAGUAAUGGCACUGCUUAUGUUGCUUGGCUCUACGUCAUCCAUUCUGAAUUUUACUCCUUCCACGUCUUGUGCUCCUUCUGCUUGGAUGCGGUCAAUUGCUGAGUUAUAGUUUUGAAUUGUCCGGGCUGGUCCACACAGAUUUGGAUCACCCUCGUUAGCAGGGAGUUAGCAGGUGCCAAAGGUUUGCACUAAGCAUCACAAGUUGAAGAGCGGGCGCGCUAAAUCGGCGGCUGAAAU
ensembl:processed_transcript